CCUUGGAACUGCAUUUUUAACUGCCGAGCUAGAGUAUGUCAGAGGGGGGUAGAAUUCCACGUGUAGCAGUGAAAUGCGUAGAUAUGUGGAGGAAUACCGAUGGCGAAGGCAGCCCCCUGGGAUAAUACUGACGCUCAGACACGAAAGCGUGGGGAGCAAACAGGAUUAGAUACCCUGGUAGUCCACGCCCUAAACGAUGUCAACUAGCUGUUGGGGCCGUUAGGCCUUAGUAGCGCAGCUAACGCGUGAAGUUGACCGCCUGGGGAGUACGGUCGCAAGAUUAAAACUCAAAGGAAUUGACGGGGACCCGCACAAGCGGUGGAUGAUGUGGAUUAAUUCGAUGCAACGCGAAAAACCUUACCUACCCUUGACAUGUCUGGAAUGCCGAAGAGAUUUAGCAGUGCUCGCAAGAGAACCGGAACACAGGUGCUGCAUGGCUGUCGUCAGCUCGUGUCGUGAGAUGUUGGGUUAAGUCCCGCAACGAGCGCAACCCUUGUCAUUAGUUGCUACGCAAGAGCACUCUAAUGAGACUGCCGGUGACAAACCGGAGGAAGGUGGGGAUGACGUCAAGUCCUCAUGGCCCUUAUGGGUAGGGCUUCACACGUCAUACAAUGGUCGGGACAGAGGGUCGCCAACCCGCGAGGGGGAGCCAAUCUCAGAAACCCGAUCGUAGUCCGGAUCGCAGUCUGCAACUCGACUGCGUGAAGUCGGAAUCGCUAGUAAUCGCGGAUCAGAAUGUCGCGGUGAAUACGUUCCCGGGUCUUGUACACACCGCCCGUCACACCAUGGGAGUGGGUUUCACCAGAAGUAGGUAGCCUAACCGCAAGGAGGGCGCUUACCACGGUGGGAUUCAUGACUGGGGUGAAGUCGUAACAAGGUAAC
rnacentral:rRNA from 1 species